rnacentral:rRNA from 1 species
ACGAACGCUGGCGGCGUGCUUAACACAUGCAAGUCGAACGGAAAGGCCCUGCUUUUGUGGGGUGCUCGAGUGGCGAACGGGUGAGUAACACGUGAGUAACCUGCCCUUGACUUUGGGAUAACUUCAGGAAACUGGGGCUAAUACCGGAUAGGAGCUCCUGCUGCAUGGUGGGGGUUGGAAAGUUUCGGCGGUUGGGGAUGGACUCGCGGCUUAUCAGCUUGUUGGUGGGGUAGUGGCUUACCAAGGCUUUGACGGGUAGCCGGCCUGAGAGGGUGACCGGCCACAUUGGGACUGAGAUACGGCCCAGACUCCUACGGGAGGCAGCAGUGGGGAAUAUUGCACAAUGGGCGGAAGCCUGAUGCAGCAACGCCGCGUGCGGGAGGACGGCCUUCGGGUUGUAAACCGCUUUCGCCUGUGACGAAGCGUGAGUGACGGUAAUGGGUAAAGAAGCACCGGCUAACUACGU